rnacentral:tRNA from 1 species
CGGGGCGUUGUGUAACGGUAGCAUACUUGCUUUGGGAGCAAGCGGUCCGAGUUCAAAUCUCGGCGCCCCGA